AUUGAACGCUGGCGGCAGGCUUAACACAUGCAAGUCGAGCGGAGCGAGGGUGCUUGCACCUUAGCUUAGCGGCGGACGGGUGAGUAAUGCUUAGGAAUCUGCCUAUUAGUGGGGGACAACAUUCCGAAAGGAAUGCUAAUACCGCAUACGCCCUACGGGGGAAAGCAGGGGAUCUUCGGACCUUGCGCUAAUAGAUGGGCCUAAGUCGGAUUAGCUAGUUGGUGGGGUAAAGGCCUACCAAGGCGACGAUCUGUAGCGGGUCUGAGAGGAUGAUCUGCCACACUGGGACGUAGACACGGCCCAGACUCCUACGGGAGGCAGCAGUGGGGAAUAUUGGACAAUGGGCGGAAGCCUGAUCCAGCCAUGCCGCGUGUGUGAAGAAGGCCUUUUGGUUGUAAAGCACUUUAAGCGAGGAGGAGGCUACUUAGAUUAAUACUCUGGGAUAGUGGACGUUACUCGCAGAAUAAGCACCGGCUAACUCUGUGCCAGCAGCCGCCGUAAAAC
rnacentral:rRNA from 1 species